UACGAAGGGGGCUAGCGUUGCUCGGAAUCACUGGGCGUAAAGCGCACGUAGGCGGAUUGUUAAGUCAGGGGUGAAAUCCUGGAGCUCAACUCCAGAACUGCCUUUGAUACUGGCGAUCUCGAGUCCGGGAGAGGUGAGUGGAACUGCGAGUGUAGAGGUGAAAUUCGUAGAUAUUCGGAAGAACACCAGUGGCGAAGGCGGCUCACUGGCCCGGUACUGACGCUGAGGCACGAAAGCGUGGGGAGCAAACGGG
rnacentral:rRNA from 1 species